rnacentral:rRNA from 1 species
GGAAUAUUGGACAAUGGGCGCAAGCCUGAUCCAGCAAUGCCGCGUGUGUGAAGCAGGUCUUCGGAUUGUAAAGCACUUUCGGCGGGGACGAUGAUGACGGUACCCGCAGAAGAAGCCCCGGCUAACUUCGUGCCAGCAGCCGCGGUAAUACGAAGGGGGCUAGCGUUGCUCGGAAUGACUGGGCGUAAAAGGCGCGUAGGCGGUUCGGCUAGUCAGAUGUGAAAUUCCCGGGCUUAACCUGGGGACUGCAUUUGAUACUUUCGAGCUUGAGUAUGGAAGAGGGUCGUGGAAUUCCCAGUGUAGAGGUGAAAUUCGUAGAUAUCGGGAAGAACACCGGUGGCGAAGGCGGCGACCUGGUCCAUAACUGACGCUGAGGCGCGAAAGCGUGGGGAGCAAA